CCGUUUAAUUUUGGCGGUGAUAAGAAGCCUGGAUGUCAGCCACAUAGAGCAGGUGUCUGUGUUAUGAGGACUUGGCGUUCAAUACUUUAGGGUCUAGUGGCUAGUGUUUUAUUUUAGCGUGGGCUAUUUAAUGGCAACCAGCAUAAAGGGGAUAGGGCACAGUGCCAGCAUCCGCGGUUAUUCUGUCUUCUUUUCUUUUUUUUUCGGCUUUUUAGGACAUAGCCACAUAAGGGUAUGUAAAAAUUUCUUAUUUUUAUUAAGUGUGUCCUUUUUGUAUUAAGCGGUUUAGUAAGACGCGGAUUAGAUACCCGCAUAUUUACUGAUUUACUAUUACGUAGUUUAUAUAACUAAAAAAUUUUGGCAGCGGGCUAUAUCUAUUCGGGGGAGUGUGCUAUGUAAAGGAUGAUCCGCCUACUAAUUAACCAUUUUUAUGCUGGUGUAUAUCUGAUUGAAUAUUAGUGUUUUAAUAGUUAAAUUUGUGUAGUUGUAAUUAAGUCAAGUCUCUGUGCUGCGUAUUAUGGGUGUUAGUGCAUUACAUUUAUAAGCUGGGGUUUGUAAGAUCCUUAGUGUAUUAGGACUCGAUAGUAAUGCUGUUUGAGUUUGACGGUGUGAAUCAAGUUUGGCUCGGGUACACACCGCCCGUCACCCUCGUCUUUUGCUGAGGUAAGUCGUAACAAGGUAGCCCCAGAUGAAUCUUGGGCUAAGUU
rnacentral:ncRNA from 1 species